CGGCACUUUGACAGAAGCCCCCUCCACCAUUCCUCCAUUACCAAGAAGCAACAAGCAUCCCAAUGCCGACGCUAAAACCGCCAUAUAAGGCAAAGGCGAAGGAAAAGAGAAGUGGGUGAGCCAGUGUACAUAUUGCCCGUGAUCGGUUUAACAUUUGUUUAUAAAGAAAUUAAGAGUUUGUCUUUAUGUUAUGGACUCUUUGUUGUUUGUUUUGUUUCUCUUAUUCUCAUUCACGUUCUUUAAAA